AGUGAACGCUGGCGGCGUGCUUAACACAUGCAGGUCGAACGAGAACGGGUUAUAGCUUGCUAUAAUUGUCAGCUAAGUGGCGCACGGGAGAGUAAUGUAUAGGUAAUAUGCCUCUUACUAAGGGAUAACAAAUGGAAACGUUUGCUAAUACCUUAUACUCCUUAUUAACAGAAGUUAAUAAGGGAAAGAUUUAUUGGUAAGAGAUUAGCCUGUAUUGUAUCAGUUAGUUGGUGAGGUAAUGGCUUACCAAGACUAUGACACAUAACUGGUUUGAGAGGAUGAUCAGUCACACUGGAACUGAGACACGGUCCAGACUCCUACGGGAGGCAGCAGUGGGGAAUAUUGCACAAUGGACGAAAGUCUGAUGCAGCAACGCCGCGUGGAGGAUGACACAUUUCGGUGCGUAAACUCCUUUUAUAUGAGAAGAUAAUGACGGUAUUAUAUGAAUAAGCACCGGCUAACUCCGUGCCAGCCGCCGCCGUAA
rnacentral:rRNA from 1 species